rnacentral:rRNA from 1 species
UAUCAAUAAGCGGAGGAAAAGAAACCAACAGGGAUUGCCUCAGUAACGGCGAGUGAAGCGGCAACAGCUCAGAUUUGAAAUCUGGCCCCGUAGCUGGGGUCCGAGUUGUGAUCUGUAGAGGAUGCCUCGGGGGAGGCGCCGACCCAAGUUCCUUGGAACAGGACGUCGUGGAGGGUGAGAAUCCCGUUCGCGGACGGCGUGCAAACCUACCCCCUGGUGAGGCUCCUUCGACGAGUCGAGUUGUUUGGGAAUGCAGCUCUAAACGGGAGGUAAAUUUCUUCUAAAGCUAAAUAUUGGCCGGAGACCGAUAGCGCACAAGUAGAGUGAUCGAAAGAUGAAAAGCACUUUGGAAAGAGAGUCAAACAGCACGUGAAAUUGUUGAAAGGGAAGCGCUUGCGACCAGACCUGCCCGAGGUUGCUCAGCCCGCCGUCAGGCGGGUGCAUUCCUCCGCGGGCAGGCCAGCGUCGGCUGGGGCGGUCGCCCAAAGGUUCGGGGAACGUGGCUCCCCAUCUGGGGAGUGUUAUAGCCCCGGGUGAAAUGCGAUCAGCCCCGGCCGAGGUCCGCGCUUCGGCCAGGACGCUGGCGUAAUGGUCGUAAGCGGCCCGUCUUGAAACACGGACCAAGGAGUCUAACAUCCACGCGAGCGUUCGGGUGAUUGAAACCCUCGCGCGCAAUGAAAGUGAACGGAGGUGGGAACCCUUCUCCCUUCGGAGGGGGGUGCACCUCGGACCGAUCCUGAUGUCUUCGGAUGGAUUUGAGUAUGAGCGUGGCUGUUGGGACCCGAAAGACUGGU